rnacentral:rRNA from 1 species
CAGGGAAUUUUGCGCAAUGGACGAAAGUCUGACGCAGCAACGCCGCGUGGGGGAUGAAGGCUCUCGGGUCGUAAACCCCUUUUGCCGGGGAAGAUAAUGACGGUACCCGGCGAAUAAGCCACGGCUAACUACGUGCCAGCAGCCGCGGUAAUACGUAGGUGGCAAGCGUUGUCCGGAUUUAUUGGGCGUAAAGCGCGCGCAGGCGGUUCGUUAAGUCCGAGGUGAAAUCUCCCGGCUCAACUGGGAGGGGUCUUUGGAUACUGGCGGACUUGAGGAGUGCAGAGGUGAGUGGAAUUCUGGGUGUAGUGGUGAAAUGCGUAGAUAUCCAGAGGAACACCAGCGGCGAAGGCGGCUCACUGGGCACCACCUGACGCUGAGGCGCGAAAGCGUGGGGAGCGAACCGGAUUAGAUACCCCCGUAGUCC